rnacentral:rRNA from 1 species
AUGGAUGAGUUCAGUGCCAGAAGCAAUAACUGGUCAACACCACUGGGGUCUAAUUGUUCACAGUACGCACCGGUAGCCGGGUUGACCAAGUUUUUCCAAGAUACAAAACGGCGCUUCAGGCCGGUGACCUUGUCCCAUCCGAGCUUCGCCCCAGGAAAAAAUGUAUCUGUGGGGUGGUCAAAGCUCUGCCACAAAACCUUUGUUGAGUUUGAAGAGUCUGUCAGUACAAGAUUUCCACUACUCAACAGCAUAGCAGCAGUGGUGCUAUUUCUUUUGAUGUUUGCUUGUGUAGUCCAGAUCGCGGACUUGGUGGACCGGUUUACGACGACAAGGUUGCCAUCGUGGGAGAUCGUGAGCUCCAGUGAGGUGGUGUUCCUGAUUGGCUUAUCCCUAUUUGCAACCCAUGCUGAAGUGAAUUUCGGUACCGUGUUGAACCAUAUGCCAAGGUACCAGUUGGCGGUGUGUCCAAUCUGGAAGAAGCCAAGCGCGUACCUGCCAUUGCUGGAGAUGAGCUUGUUGUCGACGCCAAGUGCUUGGCCGGGCAAGAUGGUGUCUGUCACGGCAGAACUCGCUGAGGUGUGUAGGCACAAGAGCAUGGUGAAAACAACGAGGACGGGAGUCAUGGUGAACUGA